rnacentral:rRNA from 1 species
CGGCGGCCUACACAUGCAAGUCGGACGGUAGCACAGAGGAGCUUGCUCCUUGGGUGACGAGUGGCGGACGGGUGAGUAAUGUCUGGGGAUCUGCCCGAUAGAGGGGGAUAACCACUGGAAACGGUGGCUAAUACCGCAUAACGUCGCAAGACCAAAGAGGGGGACCUUCGGGCCUCUCACUAUCGGAUGAACCCAGAUGGGAUUAGCUAGUAGGCGGGGUAAUGGCCCACCUAGGCGACGAUCCCUAGCUGGUCUGAGAGGAUGACCAGCCACACUGGAACUGAGACACGGUCCAGACUCCUACGGGAGGCAGCAGUGGGGAAUAUUGCACAAUGGGCGCAAGCCUGAUGCAGCCAUGCCGCGUGUAUGAAGAAGGCCUUCGGGUUGUAAAGUACUUUCAGCGGGGAGGAAGGCGAUGCGGUUAAUAACCGCGUCGAUUGACGUUACCCGCAGAAGAAGCACCGGCUAACUCCGUGCCAGCAGCCGCGGUAAU